rnacentral:rRNA from 1 species
UUAUUUAUUUUAUUAUAUUUAUUUUUUGUUUAUUUAAUUAUUUAAUAAAAAUAAUUUURUUGAAUUUUGUCUUAGUAUAUUUUGUAGAAUUGAUUUUUUAAAUUAUAGUUUAUUGGUAAUGUAAUUGUUUUAUGAAAUAUUAUUUUAAAUUUUUAAAAGUAUAUUUUAUUUAUUGKACCUUUUGKAUCGGGUUUAUCAAAAUUUUAGUAUUUAAUUUACUUGKCUCGAUUUGGGUUGGUUUAUAAAUAAUUUAUAGUUAAUGKAUCAUAAUUAUUAUUAAAUUAUUUAUGGAAAUGAAAUGKUAAUCGUUUCCCAAGAUAUCUAGUUUCUUAAGAAAAAUUUUAAUUUUUUAAAGUUAAUUGKUUUUAUUUAAUUUUUUAAUUAUAAAUAUUAACUUAUUUAUUCUUUAAGGGAUAAGCUUYGAAGUUAAUAACCUAUAAUUUGUUUUAUAAAAUAUAAUAGUAAGCUUAAACCAGCUAUCYUUAAGAUUACGUUUUAGUUCAUUAUUUUCUAUUUUGAUUUUAUAAUUAUUUUAGGUUUUUUAUUAAGAUUAUUUAUUUAAUUUUAAAAUUUUUGUAAUAAUGAUAGAAUUAGUAUAUUUACUUGUAUAUAAUUUUUACCUUGUGAAUUUAUAAUAAGGAACUAGGCAAAAUUGAUUUCCGCCUGUUUAUCAAAAACAUGUCCUCUUGAAAAUACUUUGAGGUCUGGCCUGCUCACUGAGCGGAUUUUUAAAGAGCCGCGGUAUUUUGACCGUGCAAAGGUAGCAUAAUCAUUAGUCUCUUAAUUAGUGGCUGGAAUGAAUGGCUUGACGAGAAAUCAACUGUCUCUUAAUAAAUUUUUGAAU